UCCGGGUCUCUCCAGCCCACUCUGCUCCCGGCUGCUGCUGCUGGUGGACAGCCUCCCUGGGGAGGCAGUAGGUGGGUGGGCUCCGGAGGGAGAAGGCCUGGCUCAGCUCGGUGCGCCCCUCGCCUCUGCUGACCUAGUCCUUUCCUGGCCUGAUGAGGACAUUACGCCCACUGUGGAGAAGAAUGUCUGACCCCACGGAGACAGUGACACUGAGGCCCCCCAGCUGCCACCCCUCCAUGGCACCCGACACAGUGAAGCCUCCUCUGGCUGACUCAGAGCCCGUCUGGGCCUGCGCCCCUGCACUCUCCCAAGCGAGGAAUGUCCCGACGUCCAGUUCAGGGCCCACGCUGAUGCCUGAUUGCCUGCUGCAGUCCCACCAUGUCUGCUUGCAUACCCUCAGGGACAGGUAGCUCAGUACCUUCAUCCCU
rnacentral:lncRNA from 10 species